rnacentral:tRNA from 1 species
GCCGGUUUAGCUCAGUGGCAGAGCAGUUGCUUGGUAAGCAACCGACGAGAGUUCGAUUCUCUCAACUGGCUCCA